rnacentral:rRNA from 1 species
GGGGAAUAUUGGACAAUGGGCGCAAGCCUGAUCCAGCCAUGCCGCGUGAGUGAUGAAGGCCUUAGGGUUGUAAAGCUCUUUCGCCAGGGACGAUAAUGACGGUACCUGGAUAAGAAGCCCCGGCUAACUUCGUGCCAGCAGCCGCGGUAAUACGAAGGGGGCUAGCGUUGUUCGGAUUUACUGGGCGUAAAGCGCACGUAGGCGGAUCUUUAAGUCAGGGGUGAAAUCCCGAGGCUCAACCUCGGAACUGCCUUUGAUACUGGAGGUCUCGAGUCCGGGAGAGGUGAGUGGAACUGCGAGUGUAGAGGUGAAAUUCGUAGAUAUUCGCAAGAACACCAGUGGCGAAGGCGGCUCACUGGCCCGGUACUGACGCUGAGGUGCGAAAGCGUGGGGAGCAAACAGGA